GGCCACACUGGAACUGAGACACGGUCCAGACUCCUACGGGAGGCAGCAGCUAAGAAUCUUCCGCAAUGGGGGAAACCCUGACGGAGCGACGCCGCGUGGAUGAUGAAGGCCGUAAGGUUGUAAAAUCCUUUUGUCGGUGAAGAAUAAGGAGGGGAGUGGAAAGCCCCUCUGAUGACGUUAGCCGACGAAUAAGCCCCGGCUAAUUACGUGCCAGCAGCCGCGGUAAUACGUAUGGGGCAAGCGUUGUUCGGAGUUAUUGGGCGUAAAGGGCGUGUAGGCGGCUCAUGAAGUCUGGUGUGAAAUCGACAGGCUCAACCUGUCAUAUGCGCUGGAAACUGGUGGGCUUGAGUUCUUGAGGGGAAGCUGGAAUUCCAGGUGUAGGGGUGAAAUCUGUAGAUAUCUGGAAGAACACCGGUGGCGAAGGCGAGCUUCUAUCAGAGGACUGACGCUGAGGCGCGAAAGCGUGGGGAGCAAACAGGAUUAGAUACCCUGGUAGUCCACGCUGUAAACGAUGUGCACUAGGCGUGGGGCACGUACGUGCUCUGUGCCGUAGCUAACGUGUUAAGUGCACCGCCUGGGGAGUAUGCUCGCAAGGGUGAAACUCAAAGGAAUUGACGGGGGCCCGCACAAGCAGUGGAGCAUGUGGUUUAAUUCGAUUGUACACGAGGAACCUUACCAGGGCUUGACAUGUGCGUGAAUGUUCACGAGAGUGGGCAGCCCCGCAAGGGGCGCGCACACAGGUGCUGCAUGGCUGUCGUCAGCUCGUGUCGUGAGAUGUUGGGUUAAGUCCCGCAACGAGCGCAACCCUUACCGUCUGUUGCCAACAGGUUGUGCUGGGCACUCGGACGGAACUGCCGGUGACAAACCGGAGGAAGGUGGGGAUGACGUCAAGUCAUCAUGGCCCUUAUGUCCUGGGCUACACACGUGCUACAAUGGUCGGUACAAAGCGAAGCGAAACGGCGACGUGAAGCAAAUCGCAGAAAGCCGGUCUCAGUGCGGAUUGGAGUCUGAAACCCGACUCCAUGAAGUUGGAAUCGCUAGUAAUCGCGCAUCAGCAUGGCGCGGUGAAUACGUUCCCGGGCCUUGUACACACCGCCCGUCACACCACCCGAGUUGGGGGUACCCGAAGUCAGUUGCCUAACCGCAAGGGGGGCGCUGCCGAAGGUAUGCCUGGUGAGGGGGGUGAAGUCGUAACAAGGUA
rnacentral:rRNA from 1 species